GUUUUUACUCUUUCAAGAAGAGUUUUCCGGAAGAUUAGAGGAAGGCAGAUGUGGUUCCUACAUUUUAAAAGGGUUCAAAAUUCUUGCCUGGACAUUAUAGACCUGUGAGCUUAACUUCUGUGACUGGGAAAAUAUGUGAAGGGCUAUUCAGGAAUUCAUUGGGAAGAACUUUGUUAUUAGCAAUAAUCAGCACGAUUUUAUGAAGCACAGGUCAUGUCAAACUAACU